AAUUCGCCCUUAGAGUUUGAUCAUGGCUCAGAUUGAACGCUGGCGGCAGGCCUAACACAUGCAAGUCGAGCGGUAGAGAGAAGCUUGCUUCUCUUGAGAGCGGCGGACGGGUGAGUAAUGCCUAGGAAUCUGCCUGGUAGUGGGGGAUAACGUUCGGAAACGGACGCUAAUACCGCAUACGUCCUACGGGAGAAAGCAGGGGAUCUUCGGGCCUUGCGCUAUCAGAUGAGCCUAGGUCGGAUUAGCUAGUUGGUGGGGUAAUGGCUCACCAAGGCGACGAUCCGUAACUGGUCUGAGAGGAUGAUCAGUCACACUGGAACUGAGACACGGUCCAGACUCCUACGGGAGGCAGCAGUGGGGAAUAUUGGACAAUGGGCGAAAGCCUGAUCCAGCCAUGCCGCGUGUGUGAAGAAGGUCUUCGGAUUGUAAAGCACUUUAAGUUGGGAGGAAGGGCGGUAAAUUAAUACUUUGCUGUUUGACGUACCGACAGAA
rnacentral:rRNA from 1 species